CCUACGGGAGGCAGCAGUCAGGAAUAUUGGUCAAUGGGCGCGAGCCUGAACCAGCCAAGUAGCGUGAAGGAUGACUGCCCUACGGGUUGUAAACUUCUUUUAUAAAGGAAUAAAGUGAGGCACGUGUGCCUUUUUGUAUGUACUUUAUGAAUAAGGAUCGGCUAACUCCGUGCCAUCAGCCGCGGUAAUACGGAGGAUCCGAGCGUUAUCCGGAUUUAUUGGGUUUAAAGGGAGCGUAGAUGGGUUGUUAAGUCAGUUGUGAAAGUUUGCGGCUCAACCGUAAAAUUGCAAUUGAUACUGGCAGUCUUGAGUACAGUUGAGGUAGGCGGAAUUCGUGGUGUAGCGGUGAAAUGCUUAGAUAUCACGAAGAACUCCGAUUGCGAAGGCAGCUUACUAAACUGCCACUGACAUUGAUGCUCGAAAGUGUGGGUAUCAAACAGGAUUAGAUACCCCAGUAGUC
rnacentral:rRNA from 1 species